rnacentral:lncRNA from 1 species
UAUCCAACAAAGGCUUCUACUCCUUGAGUAUUGUACUUUAAUUAUUUUUAUUGUGCUCAUUUAAGGAGCUUGUGUAUACUGAAAUUUCUGUACUCAUAUCUUUUGUUAUUGUACAUUGAGUUUUGAGUUUUGGAUGUUCCAAAACUAGAAAAGGUUGAUCCGAACCUGAAAUCGGAGAGUUUAUGGAUUGGCUUGUAUCUAAAAAAUAAAUAUUCUUGCUUGGACAGCAA